GCUGACGAGUGGCGGACGGGUGAGUAAUGUCUGGGAAACUGCCUGAUGGAGGGGGAUAACUACUGGAAACGGUAGCUAAUACCGCAUAACGUCGCAAGACCAAAGAGGGGGACCUUCGGGCCUCUUGCCAUCGGAUGUGCCCAGAUGGGAUUAGCUAGUAGGUGGGGUAACGGCUCACCUAGGCGACGAUCCCUAGCUGGU
rnacentral:rRNA from 1 species